GAAAAGAAGACUUAUUCCCAAGAGGAACACAGAACAGCUGCUGCUUCACAGGCAAAGUACUGAAGAGAGCUCUUCUGUCUGGUCACAAAAUCGUCCUUCUCCUCCCAAGCACGUCGUAGUGACUGCACCUGGGGCUGCGUGGAAAUGCUAUCAGCUUCCAAGGAGCUUGGUGCGUGGGGAUGCAUGCCAUCAGUCUCACGAUAAUGGAUGAUCGUCCUGAAUAAUACAAGAUUCUCUGAACAUUGCUUUCAUGCUGUGAUGUAAUUGCAUUGCUGAUUGUACAAGGGUUUAAAUGAAGAUUUUGAGAUGAGAAAAUUAUCCUGGAUUAUUCAGGUGGGUCCUAAAUACCAUCACAAGUGUCCUUACAAGGAAGAGGCAGCAGGAGAUGGGACACACAGUAAAGGUGAUAAUGAAGAUGGAGGUGGAGAUUGGAGGGAUGCGGCCACAAGCCAAUGAAUGCCUGCAGCUACCAGAAGCCACAGAGAGCUCCGCUAGAGCCUCUGGAGGGAGCUUGGCCCUGUCAACACCUUGAUUUGAACCCAGUGAAACAAAUUUCCAACUUCUGUCCUCCUGGACUGUGAAGUAAUAAAUUUCUGUUUUUUUAAGCUACC
rnacentral:lncRNA from 10 species